ACGCAGCUGAUGCAGCACGCGCGUGAGUGAUGACGGCCUUCGGGUUGUAAAGCUCUUUCACCCGGCCGGGAAUGACGGUACCCGUAGAAGAAGCCCCGGACCGCUCCUAGAAAGCACCCCCGGCUCUAUGAUAGCCCCCCCGCCGCUAUAUA
rnacentral:rRNA from 1 species